CAGUCAGAAUGGCAAUCAUUAAAAAGUCAGGAAACAACAGGUGCUGGAGAGGAUGUGGAGAAAUAGGAGCACUUGAAGUUUCUUUUUUGACUUCAUUUUAUAAAAUAGUUCUCAUAUUUCCUCAUCCUUUUGGCAUCAGAAGACAUAGGGAAAAUGGCCAGGGUCUCACUCUCUCAGGCUGGAGUGCAGUGGCAUGAUCAUGACUCACUACAGACUUGAACUCCUGGGCUCAAGUGAUCCUGCCACCUCAGUCUCCUGGGUAGCUGGGAUUACAGGUGUGAAUCAUCAUGCUUGGGUAAUUUUUAAAUUUGUUUUUUAUAGAAACAGGGUUUCACCAUAUUGGCCAGGCUGGUCUCAAACUCCUGGCGCCAAGUGAUCCUCCCACUUUGGUCUCUCAAAAUGUUGGAAUUACAGGGAUGAGACACCAUGUUUCAUUCAAGUUUUAUUCUCCAAAUAUUUGUCAUUUAUCAAUCUUUUGCCUCUCAGAUCUAAACCCACCCUUCAUUGCUUGCUCUAUGAAAACACAGGUAAUCCAUUUAAACUUGUUUUUUUUUUUUUUUCACCAGCUAUGCUCUGCUAUGCUUUGUCAGUAGAGGAUGCUUAAGAGAAAUGGCAGGAGGAACGAGUUUUUCUUCCUGGUUCUGGGUUGUUUCAUUGGAUAGUUCUUGCAUACAAGUUCCCAGCAACCAGCUCCUGUAGUGCAGAUGGCUUCCCCAGUACUCAGCUCCUACAGAACAUGGUGUCUGAAACCCCUCUAGUAGUCAGUAGCUUCGUACUGGAGCCUCCCCAGUAUAGCACUUACUUAUGAAUGGCUUUUUCUGGCAUGCUAAAAGGCAGCUCUCUAACAAGUUCUGCCAGUAUGCCUGGUACCACAGCAAUUUCUCUGUCCUUUAGUGAUCACAGCAAUGCCCUCUAUAACAAAGUUCAGAUCUCAGCCCUGACAGGGCAGGGUUCUCUUUUGCCCUGCCUUAAAUACAAAAGUAAUGCCUUCUCCUUUACAGCUGCUAUUCCAGUAUUCAUUAGAGUUGUCUUUAACUCUUACUAAUCUCUUCAUUAUUCAUAUAUCCUGUUAUAAUAACUAAUUCAGUAUAUUAGCUUUUUCCCAUUCAAGUUACAGUGAGGUUUCUCUGUCUUAAUUGGAUCCUGAUUUACACAGUGGCAGCGGUUGCCUAAAAGCCAGGCUAGUGUUGCAUUUCAUCUCUUUGAUUUCUGCGCUAGCCAGAGAAGUGUUAAUCUAUUGUAUUCAUCUACUGACAGGUAGUGAGUUGAAUAGUGUCUCCUUGAAAAGAUAUGUUCAUGACCUCACUCCUAGAGUCUGUGAAGACCUUACUGGGGUCGGGGGUGGGGGGGUCUUUACAGAUACAAUUAACUUAGUGAUAUCAAAUUAAAUCAUACUGGAUUACCUGGGUGUUCCCUAAAACCAAUGACAGCUAUUCUUAUGAGAAUGAAGCAGAGGGAGAUUAGACAGACAGAAAAGGAGGACACACGGGGAAGAAGGCUAUGCUAAGACCAAGGCAGAGAUCCGAGUCAUGAAAAGCCAAGCCAAGGAGCACUUGGAGACACUAGAAGCUGGAAGAGGCAGGGAAGGAUUCUCCUCUAAUGCCUCUGGAGGGAGCAUGGCCCUGCUGACAACAUGAUUUCAGACUUUUGGACAGAUAAUACCUUUCUGUUGUUUAAGACAUUGUGUUUGUGGUAAUUCGUUAAGCCAGGCCAAGGAAACUAACACAGACGAAACCAGAAUCCCAAUGAAUUUGACAACAUUAAUGAUAUAUUAUCUAAAUUCUAACUCAAUACAGAUAGAUAACAAAUGUAUUUUCUUCUACCAAUUGAAAAUGAAUUUCAUGACUGCUGUUCUUUAUUAAACAUUCUAUGUAAUAAUAACUAAUAAAUAUGAUAGCAAUGGAAUAAACUAUGAUAAAAUUCAUAUUAAAUAUUAAAGCCAAUCAAAAAUGUAAUGAAUAAUUAUGAUUGAUGACAAUGCCAUUGAUGAUACUUAUUACCUGUACUCAGUAACUGGUAUGUUUUUAACCUUAUAUAUUCCAUAUAUAAGCUUCUUCAGAAUUUUUUUUCUUUAAGUGCUAUAGAAUAAUUUUAAUUGGUAAUCAAAUAAUACUGAUACCACUAAAAAUUUGAAAAGCCAUAAUGAUAAUAGUUACACUGCUGAACACUGUCUUUAUAAUUGUAUAUUUAAUAUUUAAACUCAAAAGGAAACCUAACAAUAUUAAUGCAUUUUAUAUUCAUUUACCAAGAAAGGCAAGUGAAAAAAUUUGAAUUAUUUGUAGAUAAUUCUCUUUCUAAUAAUUCCAAUUUCAUAGGCAUUUCAGAUCUAAUUUCCAUAUUUUGUUCCUCAGAAAAUUACAAUAUACUUAGAGCACAAAAUUUAUCAUUUCAAUAAGAAAGAAAGUUUAUAAUAAAGUUCUUAAGUGGGGUCCAUAUAUUCUUGUAUAAAAUUGUAACAGCAAAUAGAGUAGGAGCUAACCUCCUUCUAAGAAUUAAAACAUGGAGAAGAAAAUUUACAAAUUAGCCAAGUCUUAAGAACACAUAACUGUGUUUUUAUUGUACUUGUUAUUUUCUAUGUAAAUAAAGAAGAGGUUUAAAACUAAAAAUAAUAAUAAUGAAGGUAGUAUACUCUUAAAUCCACCAUGGAAAUUAAUACCUUUAUUUCUUAAUUAUACCUACUUUGGGAUCAGCCUAAAUCCUUCCAGGUUUGAGAUUUCUUAUGAAGCGCAGUCUAAUUUCAGCCUUCUGAAAGAAUUCAGUGGGUUAGCUUUCAAGAACAAAAGGAAAAAUAAUUUAUCUAAUUAUUGGAAAUUCCAAGAAGAGAAAAUGUCUUAUGCCAAGCCUAAAAUAUUUAUAUUUUCUUGAAUUAAUUUAUAGCUAGCAAACUCUGUCUUCCGAGUUCUCAAAAAUAAAUGUAGACUUAAAAAUCUACUUAAUUUUGUAUGCUCUUUAAAACAACAUUUUGAUGAGUUAAAUGUAAAUGAAUCAGAAACAUAUGGAUAAACUCUCUUUAAAGUAUUUAUAGCUAUAAAUAUAUGCAUAAAAGAGGAAACUAAAUACUUUGCAAAAUAUAGUUUGGGCUUGCCACACAAUCAUUUGAUAAUUACUUGAGUUAUUUAUCAUCAGUGAACAGGACUGCUUCCUCCUUCCAGAAUUGCUUUGAAUGUGGUGAAAAUAUUUUGUGGAAAUUAGUAGAACCUAUUAGAGGAAAUCCUUAGUUCCCUCUGCCUAGAUUGAUAACAUUUCAAAUGAACCAACAAUAUUUAGCCAUAAAUAAUUAUCACACAUAUGGGAAAUUAAUUGUAUUUUUUUAUCUUAAUUAUCCACUUCAGUAAUCAUUAAAGUUAUAUAUGAUAAUAUUGCAGCAAUAACAUUUGGAAUAUAGAAAAGUAUAUCAACAAGAUUGAGGGUAAAUGUUGAUAUUUCUCUAAGAGGGGAUAAAAAUCAUUAUAAUUUGGAGGAAUGAAAACACAUAAUUGCUAUUAAGCACUUUAUACAAUUGUAUAAAGAGUCAAAAAUUUACAUUUUAUUAGUCUACAGUAUAUUUAUAUUCUAUUAAAUAAUUAUUAAUUUUUGUUUUUUUCAAAUCUACCUACAUUUGGAUGUUUGAAGACCUUAGCACAGCAUAAUGUUACUAAGUGGUAGAUACUUAGACAUGUAAACCAUUAUUAAUAUUUGUUCAUUGUAAUGGUUAAUUUUGGGUGUCAAUUUGACUGAAUUAAGGGAUAAGCAGGUAGCUGGUGAAGCAUUAUUUAUUCUCAAUAAUUGCAUUAAUUAUUCUCCAUGCCUCAGUAGGCACUGAACCUGUGCCUCUCUGUUGAAAAGGAAACCCAGGUGACUUGGCAUUUGAUUAAAAUAAUUAGGUUGCCCCAAGUAUGUCUAUGAGGGUGUUUCUGGAGGAAACUGGCACUUAAGCCUGGCUGAGUAGGAUCCACCCUCAGUCUGGGCAGGCACUAAGCAAUCAAGUCUGGAUGAACAAAAGGGCAAAUGAAGGGUGAGUUAUUGCUCUGUUUCUUUUGAAGCUGGGACCCAUUUCUUCUGCCCUCGGAUAUCAGAUUUCCAGAUUGUUUGGCUUUUGGACUCUGGGACUUUGACCAGCAGCCUCCAUGCCCUAGGACUUGAGGACUUGGUCUGAGUCAUGCUACUGGCUUCCCUGGUUCUCAGCUGUAAAUGACGUGUUACGAGACUUAAUCUCCGUAAUCAAGUGAACUAGUUCCCUUAAGAAUUUCCUUCUCAUAUAUUUAUUUUUCUCUCCCUACAUGUAUGUAUAUUAUUGUUUCUGUCUUUCUAAAGAACCUUGACUAAAACAUUAAUGAAAGGUACAUUUCUCUGCCUCACAGUUUUUACUUUUUGGUUCAUACAUUACAAAAUCCUACCUUUAGAUUUAAUUAAUAUGGCUUUUUUUUUUUCAAAUUUCUUGAACAUAUUUCAUCACAUAUUAGUUAAAAGGAAGUUUUUAUUUUGGGGGGGUAUAAUCUGCUUUAUGAGCCAUACAAAUUAGCGUGUCAUGAGUCAUACUUUCCACCAAGCAUUUCAAGUGUGAAGAGGCAUCCAAAUUCAACACAGAACUGUUGCCAUGGUAUACGUUUCCCGUCUUCUUCCUUGGUCUACAUAGGAUUCAACUACUCAGGCAUUUUUAGGACAUUAAUUGAAGGGGAUAACAAUAAUACCUCUAUCAAUCCUUAAACACUCGCUUUUGGCCGGGCACUGUGCUGUCUGCUUUAUGUUUUUGUUUAUGGUAAUUACAUUUUCUUAUUUCUUAUUUCAUUAAACAAUUCUAAUAUUUCCUUACACUGUAAAGAUAGACUGACACAAAAUCAUAAACAUUCCUGGAUAUAAAUUUUAAUCAAAAUUCAAAGUGUUUCUUGUUCAGUGGUUUCUGUCUAAAUUUUUGGAUAAUCACACUAGAGUUCAAUAUGUUUCCUAUAUAAUCUGACAAUAGUGCUUAUGUCUCUGUCCUCACACAGCUGCACUGUGAUUCAGACAACCUGAGUCACAGACCCUCUAUGAAAAUUAUUGUUUAUGAAAUACAAAAUUUAAAAAACAGUGAUGAACAAAUUAUUGAAUAAAAAAGGUGUGAAUUCAUAAACAUCAAAGACACAAUUGCUUUCAAUUUAAGGCUUUGUUCAGAGUCAUGUUUCAAGAAAGACAUAGUUUCCAAAAUAUCCAGUUUUAGUUAUGAAUCAUAUAAUCAAAAAUGCAUGAUGUUGGUCAAAGCAUAUAAAGUUUCAAUUAUGCAGUAUGAAUAAAUUCUGGAGAUGUAAUGUAUAGCAUGGUGACUAUAGCUAAUAGUAGUGUAUUUUUUACUUGGGGAUUUGCCGAGAGAGUAGGUCUAAAAUGUUCUCAGCUAAAAAAUUAAAAAGUAACUAUGUGAGGUGAUGGAUAUGUUAAUUAGCUUGAUUGUGGUAUUCAUUUCGCAAUGUACACUUAUAUCAAAACAUCACAUUGUAUACCUUAAAUAUUUACAAUUUUGACUUGUCAGUCAUACUUUAACAAAGCUGGAAAAAUGUAUGGUGCUCUACACCUCUACACUGUGAUGAAAACAUGUUUCAAAAAUCAAUAAUUGUGCUUAUUAACAUAUUGGAAAGUAAUGGUUGAUGAUCGUCUAUUUGCUCAUCCUCCAGGUAUAAUUGAAAGUCAAUAAAUCCAGUAAUCUCAAGG
rnacentral:lncRNA from 10 species